AGUCCUAUAACUCAGUGGUUAGAGUGUCGUUCUUAUAUGGAGAUACUGGGAAACCAGCUUCAUAUGCCGAAGAAAUGCGAAGGUCGUGGGUUCGAAUCCCACUUGGACUA